GUUUUGUCAAUUUUUUCAAUUGUUUCUUUUGUUUCGAUUUCAUUGAUUUCAGCUCCAAAUUUAGUUUGUAAUGUCCCUUUCACCAUAUGAUACAACCUCUUCACUCUUCCAAAGAUUAGGGUGUGGGAAUCUCUGGGAACUAUUCAUCAGUCCCCGCCUCUUCUUGUGUUGAAAUCAGUGAGGAGCAAGGAGAUAGCACUUCUGAGAGGGUGAGGAACAAGGAGAUGCUAAGAGUGCAGAGAUGGGGAAAUUGCCUGUGGUGCCUGGGAGUGCCCACGAUGAAUGGAGUUGGGGGCUCCCAUUUAAGACAGGGUAAGGUAUUGGGAAUGGGGAGCAGAAUGGUCUGAGAACUCAAUGUGGAGCAAGGACCCCACCCCAGCUGCUGGCCCAAGAAUACAUUGUGCCCAUGGAAACCCCCAGGGGAGAAGACUUCACUGGGCCUUUGUCCUCUAGGAGACCAGGUUUCUGUGAGAGAUGGCAGGCUCUGUCUUGAGAGGAUUUUGUAGGUUUGUUUUUCAUAAGUUGAGAAUUCCAGGAGGUGUCAUGGGAAGAUUCCAGGAUUUGGGAAGAGGGCACAAGAGGAGACAGAACAGGGGUGUGCAGAGCCUCACGAGGAUGACAGUGCAGGAUGUUGAAGGGGACCUAGCAUGGCUAACCAAACAGGGAAGGGACACAGGUGGUUAGUCCUGGGGGAUUCAGGACAGGCAGUGAGGUGGGCUGGGAGAGGAGCAGGUGUGGGAGCAGUUGGGUCUGUUUCUUUUCUCUAUGGAUGAAGAUUAGUUUGGGGUUGUUGGGUCUUAGUGGCAUUGUGGAACCUUUCUUGAUUGUCAUUAGGUGGAGUGUCUGAGGGUGGAGGUUGGCUAGUCUGUGUAUGAUUUAUUCCUCAACUGAGGAGAGUUGGGUGCUUACCCCUAAGGGCAGACCUACUGACACCUGCUGCUGGAGGUGCCAUUUCUGGGUACCAUAUGACACCCUGACAUAGAGCCCUGUCCUGCUAAAGGGGACAGAGGCCCAGGAAAGAACAGAGGCUGUGACCUUGUCCUGACAGUCCCAGUGUAUAUAUCCACACUAUAGGAUAUUUGGUGGACAGUGAGUUGCUGUUCCCAAGUAGGAGAACAUUUUGUUUAAAAAACCUUAGUGACUAGGGUGUUUCCAAAUUUUAUUUUUUUAAAAACAGAGAUCUGGG
rnacentral:lncRNA from 1 species